rnacentral:rRNA from 1 species
UACGGAGGGUGCGAGCGUUGUCCGGAAUCACUGGGCGUAAAGGGCGCGUAGGCGGCUUCUUAAGCGGGCGGUGAAAGCCCGGGGCUCAACCCCGGGUCGGCCGUGCGAACUGGGAAGCUCGAGCACUGUAGAGGCAGGUGGAAUUCCGGGUGUAGCGGUGGAAUGCGUAGAGAACCGGAAGAACACCGGUGGCGAAGGCGGCCUGCUGGGCAGUGGCUGACGCUGAGGCGCGACAGCGUGGGGAGCAAACGGG